rnacentral:rRNA from 1 species
AGCAGCCGCGGUAAUUCCAGCUCCAAUAGCGUAUAUUAAAGUUGUUGCAGUUAAAAAGCUCGUAGUUGAAUUUCGGGGUUAGCAGGUUGGUCAUGCCUCUGGUAUGUACUGGUCUCACUGAUUCCUCCUUCCUGAUGAACCUUAAUGCCAUUAAUUUGGUGUUUUGGGGAAUUUGGACUGUUACUUUGAAAAAAUUAGAGUGUUUAAAGCAAGCUAACGCUUGAAUACAUUAGCAUGGAAUAAUGAAAUAGGACGUUCGAUCCUAUUUUGUUGGUUUCUAGGAUUGACGUAAUGAUUAAUAGGGAUAGUUGGGGGCAUUAGUAUUCAAUUGUCAGAGGUGAAAUUCUUGGAUUUAUUGAAGACUAACUACUGCGAAAGCAUUUGCUAAGGAUGUUUUCAUUAAUCAAGAACGAAAGUUAGGGGAUCGAAGACGAUCAGAUACCGUCAUAGUCUUAACCAUAAACUAUGCCGACUAGGGAUCGGAUGAUGUUAAUUUUUUUAAUGACUCAUUCGGCACCUU